GCGCAUAUGGCGGAAUUGGCAGACGCGCUACUUUGAGGUGGUAGUGCCGAAAGGCGUGCAGGUUCAAGUCCUGCUAUGCGCACCA
rnacentral:tRNA from 1 species